CCUACUAUGUUACGACUUAUCUCAUCUUAAUAAUGAAAGCGACGGGCGAUAUGUACAUGAUUUAGAGCUUAUAUCUAACUAAGCUUAUUAAACUUACUUUACAAUCAAAUCCUCCUUCUAAUCAACUCUUUAAAUUGAUAUUCCGUAUUAAAUAAAUUUUAUUGUAACCCAUUUUAACUUAAGCAUUAGCUGCACCUUGAUCUAAUAUAUUUAACGUUAUUAACAAAUAUACAGUAAUUUAUUCUAUAAAAAUUACCUAAUAAUGAUGGUAUACAUACUACAACAAGCUUAAGUAAGAUUCUUCGUGGUGUAUCGAUUCAAAAACAGGUUCCUCUGACAAGACUAAAUCACCGCCAAAUUCUUCAAAUUUCAAGUACAUAACUUUAAAUACUUAGGGUUUGUAUAAUAUUACUUUUCGGUAU
rnacentral:rRNA from 1 species